rnacentral:lncRNA from 1 species
CACAAAUGAUUCUGUGUGCUCUCUGAAAAUCAGACUGCUGCAGAGAAGAUGCUGCUUCUCUUGCUUUACAGAAAAAAAUAGAUCAUUGUGGUCUGGAAAGAUUUAGGGAUUUUCUUCUGAAUCCUACUGUCCACCAGAGACAACAGUACAAAAUUCCCUGUCUAAAUUACUGGUGGCUCUUUCCGUUCACAAGCCAACAGAAGGGGUUUUGCUAUCAAGAGCCACUUUCCAGCUCUGCUCAGCUGGACAGGAUCAAGAGAAUGGCAUCCAAGUAGCAGUGUUCUUCCCUAAAUCUGUAAGCUCUUUUCAGCAUUCCUGUUGUGCAGACUGCUGUUUUGUUCCAACACAGUAUAGAUGAAAGGCUCGCACGGAGAACCGUACGCUGUGCAUUAGGAGCAGCAGAGAUCCUCUGGGAUCUGAACAGAGAAGGACUGUUUGAGAUGUGCACUCUAUGCUUGUCAAAGAGAAGUAAGUGCUGCAAUAAAAAGAGUAGUUGGAUAUCUAAACUCCCCUCA